AACCGGGCUUCUUUGUAAAACCUUAUAACACCCGAACCCUUUUUGAUCUCGAAAAGUGAAAUCGUUUUACACCAUAUGUACUAAUUUGUGAAUUUUGGGAGACUUGGUCGAAGCCCGGUU
rnacentral:rRNA from 1 species